UUCCAGACUCCUACGGGAGGCAGCAGUGGGGAAUAUUGCACAAUGGGGGAAACCCUGAUGCAGCGACGCCGCGUGGGCGAGGAAGUACCUCGGUAUGUAAAGCCCUAUCAGCAGGGAAGAAACAGGACAGUACCUGACUAAGAAGCCCCGGCUAACUACGUGCCAGCAGCCGCGGUAAUACGUAGGGGGCAAGCGUUGUUCGGAAUGACUGGGCGUAAAGGGUGUGUAGGCGGUGUAGCAAGUUAGAAGUGAAAUACCUAGAGCUUAACUCAGGUGCUGCUUCUAAAACUGCUAUACUUGAGUGCAGUAGAGGAAAGUGGAAUUCCUAGUGUAGCGGUGGAAUGCGUAGAUAUUAGGAGGAACAUCAGUGGCGAAGGCGACUUUCUGGACUGUAACUGACGCUGAGGCACGAAAGUGUGGGGAGCAAACAGGAUUAGAUACCCUGGUAA
rnacentral:rRNA from 1 species